UACCACAAUACCUGCCUCAUCCCUCUACACCAGCCGCCACAUCCACCACACACACCUCCACACACCACACCUCCACCCAUAGACCUACACACACACCACACACACAUCUACACCCACCACACACACCUCCACACACACCUACACUCAUACACCUACACAGACACCCCUACACACACACCACACCUACACACUCAUGCACCUACACACACCCCUACACACACCACACACACAUCUACACCCACCACACACACCUCCACACGUCAUACCUCCACUCAUACACCUACACACACCCCUACACACACCACACCUACACACUCAUACACCUACACACCCCCACACCACACACACAUCUACACCCACCACACACACCUCCACACACCACACCUCCACUCAUACACCUACACACAGCCCUACACACACCACACCUACACACCCAUACACCACACACACCCACACACACCACACACACACAUCUACACCCACCACACACACCUCCACACACCACACCUACACACACCACACCUCCACUCAUACGCCUACACACACACCCCUACACACACCACACACACAUCUACACCCACCACACACACCUCCACACACCUCCACUCAUACACCUACACACACAGCCCUACACACCACACCUACACACCCAUACACCUACACACCCCCACACACACACCACACACACAUCUACACCCACCACACACACCUACACACACCACACCUACACUCAUACACCUACACACACCCCUACACACACCACACACACAUCUACACCCACACCUACACACACCACACCUAUACUCAUACACCUACACACACCCUUACACACACCACACCUACACACUCAUACACCUACACACACACCACACACACAUCUACACCCACCACACCUACACACACACCCCUACACCUACACAUACACACCUACACACACCACACACCUACACCUACCCACACCUACACCUACACAUACACACCUACAUUCAUACACCUACAUACACACCCCUGCAUAUACCACCCCUACACACUCAUACACCUACACACCUGCACACACACCCCUACACACACCACACACAUCUACACACACCACCUACACACACCACAUACAUCUAUACCUACACAACCUACACCUACACAUACAAACCUACACUCAUACACCUACACACACACCUACACUCAUACACCUACAUACACACCCUUACACACCUACACACACCCCUACACACACACGCCUCCCAAAGUGGCAGCAGGCCUCCUGACCCGAAAGGCGCACCCCUGUUAGAAGCCGCGCCCUCCAGUGGCCCUGGCGCUGCCGUCCCUCCG
rnacentral:lncRNA from 1 species